CCGCGUGAGGGAGGAAGGCUCUUGGGUUGUAAACCUCUUUUAUCAAGGAAGAUAAUGACGGUACUUGAUGAAUCAGCAUCGGCUAACUCCGUGCCAGCAGCCGCGGUAAUACGGAGGAUGCAAGCGUUAUCCGGAAUAAUUGGGCGUAAAGCGUUCGUAGGUGGUUCUGUAAGUCUGCUGUUAAAGCGUGUAGCUCAACUACAUAUAGGCGGUGGAAACUACAAAACUUGAGUGCGUUCGGGGUAGAGGGAAUUCCUGGUGUAGCGGUGAAAUGCGUAGAGAUCAGGAAGAACACCGGUGGCGAAGGCGCUCUACUAGACCGCAACUGACACUGAGGGACGAAAGCUAGGGGAGCGAAUGGGAUUAGAUACCCCAGUAGUC
rnacentral:rRNA from 1 species